rnacentral:rRNA from 1 species
GACGAACGCUGGCGGCGUGCUUAACACAUGCAAGUCGAACGGAUCACCUUUGCUUCGGUUUUGGUGGUUAGUGGCGAACGGGUGAGUAACACGUGAGCAACCUGCCCUUCACUGGGGGAUAACUGUGGGAAACUUCAGCUAACACCGCAUGUACACCUUUCAUCGCAUGGUGGUUGGUGGAAAGUUUUUUCGGUGGGGGAUGGGCUCGCGGCCUAUCAGCUUGUUGGUGGGGUAAUGGCCUACCAAGGCUUUGACGGGUAGCCGGCCUGAGAGGGCGACCGGCCACACUGGGACUGAGAUACGGCCCAGACUCCUACGGGAGGCAGCAGUGGGGAAUAUUGCACAAUGGACGGAAGUCUGAUGCAGCAACGCCGCGUGCGGGAUGACGGCCUUCGGGUUGUAAACCGCUUUCACCAGGGGCGAAUUUGACGGUACCUGGAGAAGAAGCACCGGCUAACUACGUGCCAGCCGCCGCCGUAAUAC